rnacentral:rRNA from 1 species
GACAGAGGGGGCAAGCGUUGCUCGGAAUCACUGGGCGUAAAGGGCGCGUAGGCGGGAUGGCAAGUCGGUCGUGAAAUCCCUGGGCUCAACUCAGGGGGGUCGGCCGAUACUGCCGUUCUUGAGGGAUGCAGAGGAGACUGGAAUUCCCGGUGUAGCGGUGAAAUGUGUAGAGAUCGGGAGGAACACCUGUGGCGAAAGCGGCUCUCUGGACCACAACUGACGCUGAGGCGCGAAAGCUAGGGGAGCAAACAGG